GUCCAGGAUAGCCUAGUGGACAUGGCAUCUGCCCGGUAAGCGGAACACUGGGUUCGAUUCUUAUCCCUGGACA
rnacentral:tRNA from 1 species